rnacentral:rRNA from 1 species
GCGACCCCAGGACGGGCGAGACC